rnacentral:rRNA from 1 species
GAAUAUUGGCCAAUGGGGGGAACCCUGAUCCAGCCAUGCCGCGUGUGUGAAGAAGGCCUUUUGGUUGUAAAGCACUUUACGCGAGGAGGAGGCUACUCUAGUUAAUACCUAGAGAUAGUGGCCGUUACUCGCAGAUUAAUCACCGGCUAACUCCGUCACAGCAGCCGCGGUAAUGCAGAGGGUGCAAGCGUUAAUCGGAGUUACUGGGCGUAAAGCGCGCGUAGGUGGCCAAUUAAGUCAAAUGUGAAAUCCCCGAGCUUAACUUGGGAAUUGCAUUCGAUACUGGUUGGCUAGAGUAUGGGAGAGGAUGGUAGAAUUCCAGGUGUAGCGGUGAAAUGCGUAGAGAUCUGGAGGAAUACCGAUGGCGAAGGCAGCCAUCUGGCCUAAUACUGACACUGAGGUGCGAAAGCAUGGGGAGCAAAC